rnacentral:snRNA from 1 species
GUGCUAGCUUCGGCUUGCACGUAUAAUAAAAUUGGAAUGAUACAGAGAAGAUUAGCAUGGCCCAUGCGACAAGGAUGACACGCAAAUUCGUGAAGCGUUCCAAAUUUUU